AUACGUAGGGUGCGAGCGUUGUCCGGAAUUACUGGGCGUAAAGAGCUCGUAGGUGGUUUGUCGCGUCGUCUGUGAAAUUCCGGGGCUUAACUCCGGGCGUGCAGGCGAUACGGGCAUAACUUGAGUACUGUAGGGGAGACUGGAAUUCCUGGUGUAGCGGUGAAAUGCGCAGAUAUCAGGAGGAACACCGGUGGCGAAGGCGGGUCUCGGGGCAGUAACUGACGCUGAGGAGCGAAAGCAUGGGUAGCGAACAGGAUUAGAUACCCUGGUAGUCCAUGCCGUAAACGGUGGGCGCUAGGUGUAGGGGUCUUCCACGACUUCUGUGCCGUAGCUAACGCAUUAAGCGCCCCGCCUGGGGAGUACGGCCGCAGGGCUAAAACUCAAAUGAAUUGACGGG
rnacentral:rRNA from 1 species